AUUGCUCAUUGAGACGAUGG
rnacentral:miRNA from 1 species